rnacentral:rRNA from 1 species
UUAGGUUAAGUUAUUAAGGGCGUAUGGUGGAUGCCUUGGCACUAGGAGCCGAUGAAGGACGUGACUAACUGCGAUAUGCUUCGGGGAGUUGUAAGUAAACUAUGAUCCGGAGAUUUCCGAAUGGGGAAACCUAACAGGUUUUACCGCCUGUUAUCACUAAGUGAAUUCAUAGCUUAGUUGAAGGUAGACGUGGGGAACUGAAACAUCUAAGUACCCACAGGAAGAGAAAGAAAUUCGAUUCCCUCAGUAGCGGCGAGCGAACCGGGAAGAGCCCAAACUAAGAAGCUUGCUUCUUAGGGUUGUAGGACUGAACAUUUGAGUUACCAAGAAAUGAAGUAGUUGAAUAAUCUGGGAAGAUUAGCCAAAGAGAGUGAUAGCCUCGUAAGCGAAACUUCGUUUCCUCAGUUCAGGAUCCUGAGUACGGCGGAACACGUGAAACUCCGUCGGAAUCCGGGAGGACCAUCUCCCAAGGCUAAAUACUACCUAGUGACCGAUAGUGAACCAGUACCGUGAGGGAAAGGUGAAAAGCACCCCGGGAGGGGAGUGAAAUAGUUCCUGAAACCAUAUGCCUACAAGUAGUCAGAGCUCGUUAAUGAGUGAUGGCGUGCCUUUUGUAGAAUGAACCGGCGAGUUACGUUAGCGUGCGAGGUUAAGGAGGAAAGUCCGGAGCCGUAGCGAAAGCGAGUCUGAAUAGGGCGAGAUAGUACGUUGACGUAGACCCGAAACCAGGUGACCUACCCAUGUCCAGGUUGAAGGUGCGGUAAAACGCACUGGAGGACCGAACCCGUGUAUGUUGAAAAAUGCUGGGAUGAGGUGUGGGUAGAGGUGAAAUUCCAAACGAACUUGGAGAUAGCUGGUUCUCUCCGAAAUAGCUUUAGGGCUAGCCUCGGAGUUAAGAAUCGUGGAGGUAGAGCACUGUUUGGACUAGGGGCCCGUCUUGGGUUACUGAAUUCAGAUAAACUCCGAAUGCCACAGAUUUAUAUCCGGGAGUCAGACUGCGAGUGAUAAGAUCCGUAGUCGAAAGGGAAACAGCCCAGACCACCGAUUAAGGUCCCAAAAUAUGUGUUAAGUGGAAAAGGAUGUGGAAUUGCAUAGACAACUAGGAUGUUGGCUUAGAAGCAGCCACCAUUUAAAGAGUGCGUAAUAGCUCACUAGUCGAGUGAUCCUGCGCCGAAAAUGUAACGGGGCUAAACACAUUACCGAAAUCGUGGAUGUACCGUAAGGUACAUGGUAGGAGAGCGUUCUAAGGACGGCGAAGCUAGACCGUAAGGACUGGUGGAGUGCUUAGAAGUGAGAAUGCCGGUAUGAGUAGCGAAAGAUCAGUGAGAAUCUGGUCCACCGUAUGACUAAGGUUUCCUGGGGAAGGCUCGUCCUCCCAGGGUUAGUCGGGACCUAAGCCGAGGCCGAGAGGCGUAGGCGAUGGAUAACAGGUUGAGAUUCCUGUACUGGUUAAACUUGUUUGAACAAUGGAGGGACGCAGGAGGCUAUCGAUGCGUACUGUUGGAUAUGUACGUUCAAGCAAUAAGUCUGUAGAUGAGUCAAAUGCUUAUCUACUUAAGGACAAGUUGUGAUGAGGAGCGAAAUUUAGUAGCGAAGUGAGAGACGUCACACUGCCAAGAAAAGCUUCUAGUUAGAGUUUAAUCACCCGUACCGCAAACCGACACAGGUAGUCGAGGCGAGUAGCCUAAGGUGAGCGAGAGAACUCUCGUUAAGGAACUCGGCAAAAUGACCCCGUAACUUCGGGAGAAGGGGUGCUGAGCGCAAGCUCAGCCGCAGUGAAUAGGCCCAGGCGACUGUUUAUCAAAAACACAGGUUUCUGCAAAAUCGUAAGAUGAAGUAUAGGGGCUGACGCCUGCCCGGUGCUGGAAGGUUAAGAGGAUGGGUUAGCGUAAGCGAAGCUCAGAAUUGAAGCCCCAGUAAACGGCGGCCGUAACUAUAACGGUCCUAAGGUAGCGAAAUUCCUUGUCGGGUAAGUUCCGACCCGCACGAAAGGCGUAACGAUCUGGGCACUGUCUCAAC